rnacentral:rRNA from 1 species
CCUACGGGAGGCUGCAGUGAGGAAUAUUGGUCAAUGGCCGUAAGGCUGAACCAGCCAAGUAGCGUGAGGGAAGAAUGCCCUAUGGUUUGUAAACCUCUUUUAUGCGGGGAUAAAGGUUUCCACGUGUGGAUGUUUGCAGGUACCGCAUGAAUAAGGACCGGCUAAUUCCGUGCCAGCAGCCGCGGUAAUACGGAAUGUCCGGGCGUUAUCCGGGUUUAGUGGGUUUAAAGGGAGCGUAGGCCGGUCUUUAUGCGUGCCGUGAAAUUUUGGGGCUCAACCAUGAGAGUGCGGCGCGAACUGGAGACCUCGAGUGCGCGGAAGGCAGGCGGAAUUCGUGGUGUAGCGGUGAAAUGCGUAGAUAUCACGAAGAACCCCGAUUGCGAAGGCAGCCUGCCGCAGCGUUACUGACGCUGAAGCUCGAAAGCGUGGGUAUCGAACAGGAUUAGAUACCCGUGUAGUC